rfam:Picea glauca, whole genome shotgun sequence.
AUGUACAUUCCUACAACAUAGAGUUUAUGUUAUGGAUCCCAUUAGAACUCCGUAGUAAAGUGUGCUCAGGCUAGAGUAGUACUCAGAUGGGUGACCGCCUAGAAAGUCCUAGUGUUUUAUAUG